GAUGAACGCUAGCGACAGGCCUAACACAUGCAAGUCGAGGGGCAGCACAUGAGUAGCAAUACGAUGGUGGCGACCGGCGCACGGGUGAGUAACACGUAUGCAACCUGCCUGUAAGAGGGGAAUAACCCGGAGAAAUUCGGACUAAUACCGCAUAAUACCACGAGACUGCAUGGUUUUGUGGUUAAACAUUUAUGGCUUACAGAUGGGCAUGCGUAUGAUUAGAUAGUUGGUAGGGUAACGGCCUACCAAGUCUACGAUCAUUAGGGGUUCUGAGAGGAAGGUCCCCCCACACCGGUACUGAGACACGGACCAGACUCCUACGGGAGGCAGCAGUGAGGAAUAUUGGUCAAUGGGCGAGAGCCUGAACCAGCCAAGUCGCGUGAAGGAAGAAGGUUCUAUGGAUUGUAAACUUCUUUUGCAGGGGAAUAAAGGACGGUACGUGUACUGUUUUUGUAUGUACCUUGCGAAUAAGGAUCGGCUAACUCCGUG
rnacentral:rRNA from 1 species